ACAAGUUCCACAAUGAUAUUGAUGACGUUAAUUACAAUUUGCAGCGCCGUAAACCCGCCUUAUAUAUAUAUAUAUACUCAUAUAUUCGUACCAUUACCAACUCAUCAAGUCGAAUUUUAAACUGAGAGAACGACUCAUUUGACUCACCUCAUUCUUCUUGUGACGAUGAAAUAUUGUUUAGUUUUAGUUUUGCUCUGUGUUUGUGUAGUGCAAGGAGGUUCGGAGGAAAAUACCUUUAAAGAGGAUUCAUCUUGUAAGGUAUCUGGACAACUGAGUGUGUGCCCGGAAUACCAAGAACUGUUAAAGCAAAUAAUCGCAUCGAAUGGAUGCCUGAAAGAGGAUCGAGUCUCAAUAUCUGACAUAGUGGCACAAUUAGCUGACUUGCUAACUGAAGACCUAGGAAAGUUGAAAGAUCUCAAAAGACCGAUCCACAGCCGCUCUCGAAGGUCACCUGGUUGUCCUUACGUGUGUCAGCCUAGAUGUUACAAUAAACGAGUGUGCACUCAGGAGUGUUACUACGACUGUGAUGACCCCUAUCUGUGCCAAUGGUGGCCUUAUGAGGAUCCGUGCCCAUAAACUUGAAGAUCUGCUAAGACUUAUUCUUGAUCAGGCGUUCAACUAUUUUCUCUAUUUAUUAACUGCCAUCGAUUA